CGACGAGGGACAGACCGCCUCGGCCUGGCUCACCGCCUUAAAGGGACAGUGUGCCGCGCGCGCCCCCUGCUUUAAGGCGUUAACCCUAGUAGUGGCUGGUUGGCAAAGACCGUGAUGCUGGGAGAGAUUGACGGCGGGAGGAGAAGGGCACGACACAGGAUGAGAUGGUGGGAUGGCGUCACCGACUCAAUGGACAUGAGCAAGCUCUGGGAGAUGGUGAAGGACAGGGAGGCCUGGCGUGCUGCAGUCCAUGGGGUCGCAAAGAAUCGGACAAGACUGAGCGACUGAACUGAACUGGUAUUGGCGAGUUCAGGUCCUUCUGCACCUUCUAAAUACUUAAGUAUGGUGAUGCCUACAGAAAGUACUUGCGCGCCCCUUGAGUGUUCACAUCUUGAGCGCGCCCUGCAGCGGCGCCCCAGGGAGGAGCCGAGCUCCCGGUCCACGGGAUUAGCGGGGCGCUGGAGGGGUCGCGUCUCUCCACAGCCGCGCAAGCCGGGGAUCGGCGGCGGCGGCCGCGUCCACAGCCCCCGGCCGCCCUAGGCGGUUCUCCGCGUGGCAUCCCCAUUAAUUUCGGGACACCCCUGUGAGGGGCCCUGGCCUUCCAGCUUGUAAGAGAGAGGAACCUUGAGCUCCGAAAGAUUCAGAACCUGGACUCUGGGAGCUGCGCCCACCGGCUACCCCGCAGGACCUGCGGCGGAGUCGGCGGGGCCUUCCCGCCCCUGGGUCAAGAGAGUUGUCUCCUGAGCCCCCAGCGCGGAGAUGCGAACUGUCGCUGCGUGCGGGCUACUCUGGGGUCUGCGGGGUGAUGGCCCAGACAGCUUUCAGGAAGAUGACACCACCCCUCCCGCUGUUUCAGAGAAGGUUCUGCUGGGCAGCUCUGCCCAUGCCCCCCAAACGCAGAGACGCAUGGAGCGUGAGGGGAGUGUAGAGAGACCAACAGCCGUUCAUCUUGCUGCUUAAGAAAAAGCAUGAGCAAGUGUCAUUCAAAAAGAUACCGCACCCUGGCGCUCACUGCAGCAGCGUGAGCAACAGCCGAGACACGGGAGCAAGCGAAACAUUCAUCCACAGACGACGGAUGAAGAUGCGGCGAGGAGACCCCGGGUGGCCUGGCGUUGAGGGUUCAGGAUCUCACGGCCGUGGCCCGGGGUCAGUCCCGGGUUGGGGGCCUGAGAUCCCACAAGCCACAUGGUAGAGAGGAAAAAAAGAGACGUGGUACAUAUAUAUGAUGGACUAUUAUUCAGCCAUAAAAAAAGAUUAAAAUAACGCUGUUUGCAGCAACAUGGACGGACCCGGAGAGCAUCACACUAAGUGAAGUCAGCCAGACAAAGACAAGUACUUUAAUAUGACCUCACUUGUGUGUGGAAUCUAAAGUAUG
rnacentral:lncRNA from 1 species